rnacentral:rRNA from 1 species
GAUGAACGCUGGCGGCAUGCCUAACACAUGCAAGUCGGACGGGAAGGGGUGUUUCUUGUGGCGGUCGGGUGAGUAACGAGUAAGAACGUGCCCCUGGGAGGGGAACAAUAAUUGGAAACGGUUGCUAAUACCACGUAGGCCUAGGAGCAAAAGGAAGUUUCUGCCCCAGGGGGGGCUUGCGUCAGAUUAGCUAGCUGGUGAGGAAAUAGCAUACCAAGGCGAUGAUCAGGUACGGGUCCGAGGGGAUGACCACCCACACGGGGACUGAGGCACGAGUCAGGCUCCUACGGGAAGCAGCGGUAGGGAGUUUGCCGAAAGGGGCGUGAGCGUGGCGGGGCUACGCCGCGUGGAGCUAGGAGGCCCACGGGUAGUGAACGUCUUUGCUCGGAGAUGAAACAAUGACGGUAUCUUAGGAAUAAGCAUCGGCUAACUCUGUG